GGCGUCCGAGUUGUAAUUUGUAGAGGAUGCUAUUGAGUUGUCACCGGUCUAAGUUCCUUGGAACAGGACGUCACAGAGGGUGAGAAUCCCGUAUGUGACCGGCCAGACGCUCUCUGUAUAGCUCCUUCGACGAGUCGGGUUGUUUGGGAAUGCAGCCCUAAAUGGGAGGUAAAUUUCUUCUAAAGCUAAAUACCGGCCAGAGACCGAUAGCGCACAAGUAGAGUGAUCGAAAGAUGAAAAGCACUUUGGAAAGAGAGUUAAAAAGCACGUGAAAUUGUUGAAAGGGAAGCGCUUGCAAUCAGUCUCGACGGCGGCUGUUCGGCCUCUCUUCUGAGUGGUUUAUUCAGUCGCCGCCGGGCCAGCAUCAGUUCUGGCGGUCGGACAAAGGCGCAGGGAAUGUAGCUCCUCUCGGGGAGUGUUAUAGCCCUGUGUGCAAUACGGCCCGCCGGGACUGAGGUCCGCGCUUCGGCUAGGAUGCUGGCGAAAUGGUUGUAAGCGGCCCGUCUUGAAACACGGACCAAGGAGUCUAACAUCUAUGCGAGUGUUUGGGUGUCAAACCCGUACGCGUAAUGAAAGUGAACGGAGGUGGGAACCGCAAGGUGCACCAUCGACCGAUCCUGAUGUCUUCGGAUGGAUUUGAGUAAGAGCAUAGCUGUUGGGACCCGAAAGAUGGUGAACUAUGCCUGAAUAGGGUGAAGCCAGAGGAAACUCUGGUGGAGGCUCGCAGCGGUUCUGACG
rnacentral:rRNA from 1 species